UAAACCCGUAAAUAACAGCCUAACCGGUAACGGGCUCCUCUAAAACCUGUAAAUAACGGCUGUUACGUUUCAUAACGGCCGUUAUUUGAUUCCAUGAUCACCAUCACUACUUUUUAUAUUAUCAAGAUAUGAUCUUUUUCAUCAUUAAUUAUGCCACCAUUAAUAUCCAUACUCCAUAGGCACUACCUUCAUCACCAUCACCAGAAAUAGUAUCACUGCCACUAGCAUUAUCGCUAUUGUUAACAGCAAUAACUUCACAACCAUGCAAUGACCAGCAGCACUCCACCACCAUUAUCAUAGUUAUUAAAGGUACAAGGCACAAAGGGG
rnacentral:misc_RNA from 1 species